rnacentral:rRNA from 1 species
GACGGGGGCCCGCACAAGCGGAGGAACAUGUGGUUUAAUUCGAUGAUACGCGAGGAACCUUACCCAGGCUCGAACGGUACAGGAAUAAAGGAGAGAUUCUUUAGCUCAGCAAUGAGUCUGUAUCGAGGUGCUGCAUGGUUGUCGUCAGCUCGUGCCGUGAGGUGUCGGCUUAAGUGCCAUAACGAGCGCAACCCCUGUCGUCAGUUGCCAUCAGGUAAAGCUGGGCACUCUGGCGAGACUGCCACCGUAAGGUGCGAGGAAGGUGGGGAUGACGUCAAAUCAGCACGGCCCUUACGUCUGGGGCGACACACGUGUUACAAUGGCAGGUACAGAGGGUAGCCAGGCGGCGACGCCGCGCCAAUCCCAAAAGCCUGUCUCAGUUCGGACUGGAGUCUGCAACUCGACUCCACGAAGCUGGAUUCGCUAGUAAUCGCGCAUCAGCCAUGGCGCGGUGAAUACGUUCCCGGGCCUUGUACACACCGCCCGUCAAGCCAUGGAAGCCGGGGGUGCCUGAAGUCCGUGACCGCAAGGAGCGGCCUAAGGCAAAACUGGUGACUGGGGCUAAGUCGUAACAAGGGUAGGCCGUACCGGAA